GACGAACGCUGGCGGCGUGCUUAACACGUGCAAGUCGAACGGAAAGGCCCUGCUUUUGUGGGGUGCUCGAGUGGCGAACGGGUGAGUAACACGUGAGUAACCUGCCCUUGACUUUGGGAUAACUUCAGGAAACUGGGGCUAAUACCGGAUAGGAGCUCCUGCUGCAUGGUGGGGGUUGGAAAGUUUCGGCGGUUGGGGAUGGACUCGCGGCUUAUCAGCUUGUUGGUGGGGUAGUGGCUUACCAAGGCUUUGACGGGUAGCCGGCCUGAGAGGGUGACCGGCCACAUUGGGACUGAGAUACGGCCCAGACUCCUACGGGAGGCAGCAGUGGGGAAUAUUGCACAAUGGGCGGAAGCCUGAUGCAGCAGCGCCGCGUGCGGGAUGACGGCCUUCGGGUUGUAAACCGCUUUCGCCUGUGACGAAGCGUGAGUGACGGUAAUGGGUAAAGAAGCACCGGCUAACUACGUG
rnacentral:rRNA from 1 species